CUGGUCUGUAACUGACGCUGAGCUCGAAAGUAUGGGUAGCAAACAGGAUUAGAUACCUGGUAGUCCAUACCGUAAACGAUGAAUGCUAAGUGUUGGAGGGUUUCCCCCUUCAGUGCUGCAGCUAACGCAUUAAGCAUUCCGCUGGGGAGUACGGCCGCAAGGCUGAAACUCAAAGGAAUUGACGGGGGCCCGCACAAGCGGUGGAGCAUGUGGUUUAAUUCGAAGCUACGCGAAGAACCUUACCAGGUCUUGACAUACUAUGCAAAUCUAAGAGAUUAGACGUUCCCUUCGGGGACAUGGAUACAGGUGGUGCAUGGUUGUCGUCAGCUCGUGUCGUGAGAUGUUGGGUUAAGUCCCGCAACGAGCGCAACCCUUAUUAUCAGUUGCCAGCAUUAAGUUGGGCACUCUGGUGAGACUGCCGGUGACAAACCGGAGGAAGGUGGGGAUGACGUCAAAUCAUCAUGCCCCUUAUGACCUGGGCUACACACGUGCUACAAUGGAUGGUACAACGAGUUGCGAACUCGCGAGAGUAAGCUAAUCUCUUAAAGCCAUUCUCAGUUCGGAUUGUAGGCUGCAACUCGCCUACAUGAAGUCGGAAUCGCUAGUAAUCGCGGGUCAGCAUGCCGCGGUGAAUACGUUCCCGGGCCUUGUACACACCGCCCGUCACACCAUGAGAGUUUGUAACACCCAAAGUCGGUGGGGUAACCUUUAGGAACCAGCCGCCUAAGGUGGGACAGAUGAUUAGGGUGAAGUCGUAACAAGGUAACCA
rnacentral:rRNA from 1 species